ensembl:lncRNA
GUGGGGACUCCAAGCUGAGCUUGGGGUGGGCAGCACAGGGAAAAGUGUGGGUAACUAUUUUUAAGUACUGUGUUGCAAAUGUCUCAUCUGCAAAUACGUAGGGUGUGUACUCUUGAAGAUUGGGUUCAGUAAUAUAUGGAUGAAUUCACAGUGGAAGCAUUCAAGGGUAGAUCAUCUAACGACACCAGAUCAUCAAGCUAUGAUUCGAAGCGGUAUCAGAAGAGCGAGGAAGCACUGUGCAGCAGAGUGGAACUGAUGUCGAAGCCUCCUGUCCACUACCUGUUGCUGCAGGCAGACUGCUCUCAGAAAAAGAGAGCUAACUCUAUGCCAUAGUCUGAAGGUAAAAUGGGUUUUAAAAAAGAAGAAAACACAAAGGCAAAACCGUCUGCCACAUGAGAAGAAUGCAGUGGUAAACAUGGUAGAAAAGGUGCAGAAGCCCCCAGGCAGUGUGACAGGCCCCUCCUGCCACCUAGAGGCGGGAACAAGCUUCUCUGCCUAGGGCUCUGCCCGCGAAGUGCGUGUUUCUUUGGUGGGUUUUGUUUGGCGUUUGGUUUUGAGAUUUAGACACAAGGGAAGCCUGAAAGGUGUUGGGCACUAUUUUGGUUUGUAAAGCCUGUACUUCAAAUAUAUAUUUUGUGAGGGAGUGUAGCGAAUUGGCCAAUUUAAAAUAAAGUUGCAAGAGAUUGAAAGCUGAGUAGUUGAGAGGGUAACACGUUUAAUGAGAUCUUCUGAAACUGCUGCUUCUAAACACUUGUUUGAGUGAUAAGGCCUUGGAUAGGUGAGUGCUCUUGUUACAUGUCUGAUGCACUUGCUUGUCCUUUUCCAUCCACGUCCAUGCAUUCCACAUCCACGCAUUUGUCACUUAUCCCAUAUCUGUCAUAUCUGACAUACCUGUCUCUUCGUCACUUGGUCAGAAGAAACAGAUGUGAUAAUCCCCAGCCGCCCCAAGUUUGAGAAGAUGGCAGUUGCUUCUUUCCCUUUUUCCUGCUAAGUAAGGAUUUUCUCCUGGCUUUGACACCUCACGAAAUAGUCUUCCUGCCUUACAUUCUGGGCAUUAUUUCAAAUAUCUUUGGAGUGCGCUGCUCUCAAGUUUGUGUCUUCCUACUCUUAGAGUGAAUGCUCUUAGAGUGAAAGAGAAGGAAGAGAAGAUGUUGGCCGCAGUUCUCUGAUGAACACACCUCUGAAUAAUGGCCAAAGGUGGGUGGGUUUCUCUGAGGAACGGGCAGCGUUUGCCUCUGAAAGCAAGGAGCUCUGCGGAGUUGCAGUUAUUUUGCAACUGAUGGUGGAACUGGUGCUUAAAGCAGAUUCCCUAGGUUCCCUGCUACUUCUUUUCCUUCUUGGCAGUCAGUUUAUUUCUGACAGACAAACAGCCACCCCCACUGCAGGCUUAGAAAGUAUGUGGCUCUGCCUGGGUGUGUUACAGCUCUGCCCUGGUGAAAGGGGAUUAAAACGGGCAC